CGCACGAGUAGUCUAGUUAAGUGAUCAAUGUUAUAAGCAUGUGGUGUGUGUUUGUUUAAAUCAUUGAUUUUCGUAAUCACAUCAUCGUACAUUAAAAAUACAUUUUUAUUUUGAUAAUGAACAUCCCGAAUAACGGUAUAACAAUUUGUAAGAAAAUCUCUGACGACUCGUUUCCAAUUCAAUAUAUAAAUAGUGUUAUUUAUUUCAAUCGAAAAAUAAAGAUUGACAGAAUACUUACUGAAAUCUAAUAAUUUGAAUAAUGAAUAGCAUCCCGGCUGGGGCGCUGUUCCGGAAUUGGGAAAGAAGUCAGCGUGGCCUAUACUUUUAAAGAAGCCGAUAGUCCCUCCUGAAGUGUG